GNNNGUAGACCAACAGGGAUUGCCCUAGUAACGGCGAGUGAAGCGGCAAAAGCUCAAAUUUGAAAUCUGGCAUCUUUGGUGUCCGAAUUGUAAUUUGGAGAGGCAACUUCAGGUAGGACCCAGUCUAUGUUCCUUGGAACAGGACGUCAUAGAGGGUGAGAAUCCCGUUCUUGACUGGAUGUUCUUGCUAGUAUGUAGUGCCUUCUACGAGUCGAGUUGUUUGGGAAUGCAGCUCAAAAUGGGUGGUAAAUUUCAUCUAAAGCUAAAUAUUGACGAGAGACCGAUAGCGCACAAGUAGAGUGAUCGAAAGAUGAAAAGCACUUUGAAAAUAGAGUCAAAAAGUACGUGAAAUUGUUGAAAGGGAAGCGCUUGAGACCAGACUCAGCCUUUGGCAAACAAGUGUCCUUCUGGGCAGUGCACUUGCCUCAGGCUGGGCCAGUAUCAGUUAGGAUGGUAGGAGAAAGGCUAGGGGAAUGUGACUCCUAUCUGGAGUGUUAUAGACCCUGGCGUCAUGCUACCUGUCCUGACUGUGGACCGCGCGUUAGCUAGGAUACUGGCGUAAUGGUCUUCAGCGGCCCGUCUUGAAACACGGACCAAGGAGUCUAACAUCUAUGCGAGUGUUUGGGGUGGAAA
rnacentral:rRNA from 1 species